UUUGUCACCUAUUUAUGGGAAAAAGUAUAACAAAAAUAACCUGUUAGCAUUUUUCUUGUAUUUUAAAAUAGUAAUUUAAAAUAUUUGUACUCUAUGCAUAUACUUUUACAAUAGUAAGAUAUUAUUUUUGCUGUUUUAUAACAUUCUCAUUAAUUAUCCAGAAAUUAUAUCUUAAAUUACCUAAAAGAAUGCUUAAUUUUUUAAUUCAAGAAAAUAGUAUCAAUCCUUAUUCUUUUGAAUUUAGUAACUUCCAUAGUAGCCAAAAUUAUGCAGAUGAGUUUGAACCAGCAUAAAUAAUUAGCCCAUUUAUUUUUUUUAAAAAAGGCAAAUGAGUUAAAUAGUUUAAAACACUAUCUUUUCUGUUCAUUUCCCCUACAUAUUUGCUGCUGCUUCUUAAGCAGGCUGUGUUAUCUCCAAUGAACUUUUCUAGGGAAGGCGCUCCAUACAUUGGGUUCAACUAUAGAAAAUGUCCUGUUCUAUGAAGCCAUGGAUCACCUUCAGCGUAAAAUAAUUGAAGACAAAGCUGGGGAAGAACUGAACUAAAGUCACCAAGUAAUUCCAACAGACUUGUAAAUAAAAUACUUUUAAAUCAAA